rnacentral:rRNA from 1 species
GACGUAGGGGGCGAGCGUUGUCCGGAAUCACUGGGCGUAAAGAGCUCGUAGGCGGGGUUGCGCGUCAUGGAGUAAAUUUCCUUGCUCAACGGGGAAAUCAUCUGUGAUACGGCAACUCUUGAGGACAGGAGAGGAAAGCGGAAUUCCGAGUGUAGCGGUGAAAUGCGUAGAUAUUCGGAGGAACACCAGUGGCGAAGGCGGCUUUCUGGCCUGAUUCUGACGCUGAGGAGCGAAAGCCAGGGUAGCGAACGGG